UCAACGAGGAAUCCAUGUAAGCGCAAGUCAUCAGCUUGCGUUGAUUACGUCCCUGCCCUUUGUACACACCGCCCGUCGCUACUACCGAUUGAAUGGCUCAGUGAGACUUCGGACUGGCCCAGAGAGGUGGGCAACUACCACUCAGGGCCGGAAAGUUGUUCAAACUCGGUCAUUUAGAGGAAGUAAAAGUCGUAACAAGGUCUCCGUUGGUGAACCAGCGGAGGGAUCAUUA
rnacentral:rRNA from 1 species